CAUGUUGUCGUCAGCUCGUGUCGUGAGAUGUUGGGUUAAGUCCCGCAACGAGCGCAACCCUUAUCUUUAAUUGCCAGCAUUCAGUUGGGCACUUUAAAGAGACUGCCGGUGUUAACCGAGGAAGUGGGAUGACGUCAAGUCCUCAUGGCCUUUAUGCUUAGGGCUACACACGUGCUACAAUGGGUGGUACAAAGAGAAGCCAACUCGCGAGAGCGCGCCAAUCUCAAAAAGCCAUCCUCAGUUCGGAUUGGAGUCUGCAACUCGACUCCAUGAAGUUGGAAUCGCUAGUAAUCGCGGAUCAGCAUGCCGCGGUGAAUACGUUCCCGGGCCUU
rnacentral:rRNA from 1 species